rnacentral:rRNA from 1 species
CACCGGCGGCCCGAGUGGUGACCACUUUUAUUGGGCCUAAAGCGUCCGUAGCCGGUCCAGUAAGUCCCUGUUUAAAUCCUACGGCUUAACCGUAGGGCUGGCAGGGAUACUGCUGGACUUGGGACCGGGAGAGGGCGAGGGUACUUCAGGGGUAGCGGUGAAAUCUUGUGAUCCCUGAGGGACCACCAGUGGCGAAGGCGUCUCACUAGAACGGGUCCGACGGUCAGGGACGAAAGCUGGGGGCACGAACCGG